ACCAAUGUCAAUUAGUUCAGCUGAGGCAAUCUGUAUUUUCAAGGCCAAUUUACAUGGACGUGCCCAUGAGUUAGGUUUCUGUGCUCAGGGUCAUGCACUGUG